rnacentral:lncRNA from 1 species
UAGGCAGGUUUAGGGUUUCAGAAACUGAAACCCUAAUGUCUAAAAUUGGGCUUCUGGGCUUGGGGUUGAGUGUUUAGGUUAUAGGUAGAUUUGGGUUUAGGUGGGUUGGGGCUGAAUAUUGCAAACGGGCUUGUGGGUAACAUUGGGCUCCGGGUAGCUGAUUGGGUAGGGUUUGGUUAAUGGGCUUACUGAUUUGGGUAAUGUAUUGGGAAUGGGUUUGAUUUGGGUUAAGGUUUGGGGGGUUAUUGGGUCUGAUGUAAAUGGGUUGAGGUUGGGUUAAUGUUUUGUUGUAUUGGGUCCAAAAUUGGCCUGUACA